rnacentral:rRNA from 1 species
UACGGAGGAUGCGAGCGUUAUCCGGAUUUAUUGGGUUUAAAGGGUGCGUAGGCGGUAUGGUAAGUCAGCGGUAAAAGCCCGGGGCUCAACCCCGGCCCGCCGUUGAAACUGGCAGUCUCGAGUUGGGGAGAAGUAUGCGGAAUGCGCGGUGUAGCGGUGAAAUGCAUAGAUAUCGCGCAGAACUCCGAUUGCGAAGGCAGCGUACCGGCGCCAGACUGACGCUGAGGCACGAAAGCGUGGGGAUCGAACAGG